rnacentral:rRNA from 2 species
GGUGAGUAAUGCCUGGGAAUUUGCCCAUUUGUGGGGGAUAACAGUUGGAAACGACUGCUAAUACCGCAUACGCCCUACGGGGGAAAGCAGGGGACCUUAGGGCCUUGCGCUGAUGGAUAAGCCCAGGUGGGAUUAGCUAGUAGGUGAGGUAAAGGCUCACCUAGGCGACGAUCCCUAGCUGGUCUGAGAGGAUGAUCAGCCACACUGGGACUGAGACACGGCCCAGACUCCUACGGGAGGCAGCAGUGGGGAAUAUUGCACAAUGGGGGAAACCCUGAUGCAGCCAUGCCGCGUGUGUGAAGAAGGCCUUCGGGUUGUAAAGCACUUUCAGCGAGGAGGAAAGGGUGUAAGUUAAUACCUUACAUCUGUGACGUUACUCGCAGAARAAGCACCGGCUAACUCCGUGCCAGCAGCCGCGGUAAUAC